AGUUCAUAUAUACUUAUGUUCUGCUGCUGACUUGUUGUCUUGUUUUGUGUGGAGUAGCUGAGUUCAUAUUUCCACCCUCAGGAUGAUGGAAAAACUCUACCUAUUGCUGCUCUCUCUCUGUCUGCCCUGUUGCAAUGGUCAGAGUCUGGAGGUCAUUCCCUCCAGUCCAGUCCAGAAAAAGCCUGGAGAAACUCUCAGUCUGUCCUGUAAGAUAUCUGGAUAUACCGUUACCAGCCACCACACACUGGAUACGACAGCCAGCAGGAAAAUCCCUGGAGUGGAUGGGUUUUUCUGGAUUAGGCCUAGGUUACCAUGCUAAAAAGUUUGAAGGACGUAUGGAAACCACUAAAGAUACUAGCAACAGCAUGUUGACUUUGAUGCUGUCUGGUGUGAGAGCAGAGGACUCUGCUGUGUAUUACUGUGCAAGAGACACAGUGGUGUGAGUGCAGGAUCUGUACAGAAACCCCUCAGAGAAUCUAACUGGCAGCAGUCAACAGAGAGCAUCAGUACAGCAGAGUAACAUCCAAUGAAUAUCUCAACCACAACAUGCCCCUGAGAGCCUAAACAACCAGCAUAUUAUCAACACAACUACAUUAACACAAUGUAGGCUAGAGGGAUGAGCUAUCAGAGGACAGGCUCAUUGUAAUGGAUGGAAUGGAAUCUAUCUAAAUGGAACGGUGUCAAACAGAUCAAUCAAACAUCGGUUUUAAGGUCUCUGCACUGGCUGCCUGUGAGUUUUAGCCUGAAUUUUAAUAUUCUUAUAUUGGUUUUUAAAUCAAUCCACGAUUGUGCACCCCAAUAGAUUACAGAUAUGCUUUUAAAUUAUGCACCCAGUUGGUCCCUCAGAUCUUCUGGCACUCACCUUUUAACUAUCCCAAAGCCUAGGACCAAGAGGCAUGGAGAGGCAGCCUUUACUUACAAUGCCCACCGCCUCUGGAAUAGUCUGCCAGCAAACCUGAACGGACCCGAAACUGUGGACAUUUUUUAAAGAGAUCUUAAAACACACCUUUUUAAGCUUUGCUUUUCCUUAGGGUGAUUUUUAGUCCAUCAGUUUUUAUUGUUAUUCUUUUUAUAAUGUUUUCCCUGUGAAGCAUAUUGUGUUGCAUUCCAUGUCUGAAAUGUGCUGUAUAAAUAACGCUUGAUUUGAUUUGAUCAUGUGGAAACCACAUUUGACUCUGUUCCAUUAAUACCAUUCCAGACAUUACAAUGAGCCCGUCCUCUUAUAGCUCCUCCCACCAGUUUGAUGUACACAUUCAUUUGGGGAGAGGUGUAGAACAAGACAGGAAACACAUCAAGCUUUGUUCAUUCAUGAUGAAUAAUGUGAUUUUUGUUGAUAGA